rnacentral:rRNA from 1 species
GAGCUCCCAUGGCGCCUGUUUAUCAAAAACAUGGUUUUUUGGAUAUCAUAAAAAAUCUUACCUGCUCACUGCUUAAGUUAAUAGCCGCAGUAUUAUGACUGUGCUAAGGUAGCAUAAUCAUUUGUCUUUUAAAUGAGGUCUGGAAUGAAUGGUUUGAUCGAAGAAAAAGCUGUCUCUUUAUUAUUAAGUGAAUUAAAUUAAUUAGUAAAAAGGCUAAUAUUAACCUGAAAGACGAUAAGACCCUAUUAAGCUUGAUUUUUAAAAUUUUACUGGGGUGGUAAGAUGAGAUUUGAAUCUCAUUUCUAGAUGAUAAAAUUUGGGUGACCCAAACUUUUUGGGAAUAGGAUAAAGUUACUAUAGGGAUAACAGCUUAAUUUUCCAUUGAAGAUCUUAUUUAAUGGAAAGUUUGAGACCUCGAUGUUGAAUUAAAGAACCUUAUAAGUGUAGUAGUUUAUAUAGGAAGUCUGUUCGACUUUUAAAUCUUUACGUGAUCUGAGUUCAGACCGGCCAUGGGAGCUC